rnacentral:rRNA from 1 species
CACGUAGGGGGCGAGCGUUGUCCGGAAUUACUGGGCGUAAAGCGUGCGUAGGCGGUCCGCGAAGUCUGAUGUGAAAGCCCCGGGCUCAACCUGGGAACUGCAUUGGAAACUAACGGGCUCGAGUGUGGCAGAGGGGGGUGGAAUUCCACGUGUAGCAGUGAAAUGCGUAGAGAUGUGGAGGAACACCGAUGGCGAAGGCAGCCCCCUGGGCUAACACUGACGCUCAGGCACGAAAGCGUGGGGAGCAAACAGG